rnacentral:rRNA from 1 species
AUUGAACGCUAGCGGGAUGCUUUACACAUGCAAGUCGAACGGAGUGGCGGACGGGUGAGUAAUAUAACGGAACGUGCCCAGUAGGGGGGGAUAACUACUCGAAAGAUUGUCUAAUACCGCAUACUAUUGAUACGGGCGAUAUCGGAUUAGCUAGUUGGUGGGGUAAAGGCUCACCAAGGAAACGAUCCUUAGUAGGUUUGAGAGGACGACCAGCCACACUGGGACUGAGACACGGCCCAGACUCCUACGGGAGGCAGCAGUGGGGAAUUUUGGACAAUGGGGGAAACCCUGACCCAGCAAUCCCGCGUGUAUGAUGAAGGCCUUCGGGUUGUAAAGUACUUUUGGCAGAGAAGCGGUAUCUGCAGAAUAAGCACCGGCUAACUACGUGCCAGCAGCCGCGGUAAUAC